CGCUGGCGGCGUGCCUAACACAUGCAAGUCGUACGAGAAAAGGUCUUCGGACCUGAGUAGAGUGGCGCACGGGUGAGUAACGCGUGGGUAAUCUACCUCUCAGUUGGGAAUAACUCAUCGAAAGGUGGGCUAAUACCGAAUAACGCUGUUCCAUAAAGGUGGGGCAGCCAAAGAUGGCCUCUGCUUGCAAGCUAUCGCUGAGGGAUGAGCCCGCGUCCCAUUAGCUGGUUGGUAGGGUAAUGGCCUACCAAGGCAACGAUGGGUAGCUGGUCUGAGAGGAUGAUCAGCCACACUGGAACUGAAACACGGUCCAGACCCCUACGGGAAGCAGCAGUGAGGAAUCUUGCGCAAUGGGGGGAACCCUGACGCAGCAACGCCGCGUGAAGUGAGGAAGGCCUUCGGGUCGUAAAGCUCUGUCGGGUGGAAAGAAAAAGGCGGAGGUCAAUACCCUUCGUCCCUGACGGUACCAUCAGAGGAAGCACCGGCCAACUCCGUGCCAGCAGCGGC
rnacentral:rRNA from 1 species